AAAAAUAUCACAUGACAAAUAAAAACAUUCGAACAUUUGAGCCACAUUUGUUUGUCUUUUUUUCUUUUCCACAUUUGUUUGUCAAAUUGUAGAAAACACAAUGAGAAAAUAUGUUUCGCAAAUUUUAGUCACCCUUAUUUAUGCAGCAUUUUUAGAUGAAUUUCAUUUAGUUCUUUAUUGUUUGUACAAAGAUCCAAGAGCAU
rnacentral:lncRNA from 1 species